rnacentral:misc_RNA from 1 species
GUGCGACAGGCACCUGUGGAGAGAUGGGGAGAGAGGAGGUUGAGGACAGUGAAGAGGCCCAUGAUGGUGAUGGAGGCCAGGUAGGUGAUCUGCCAGCGGUGGUCACAUUGGAAGAUGUAGUAGAUUGGGGGGAAGAAGGAGGCGACGAUCAUGACAGCAAUGCCGACAUAGUCGAGGCGGGAGAGGAAGAUGUUGAGGCGCUGGGAGUGGCAGCAGAAGAGGUGGCAGAUGCUGCUGGUAAGGAGGCAGAACAUCGAGCCUGCGAGGAAUACAAAGAAGGGCCACCGCGCUGUUGGCGGAGAAGAAUGGUGGUCUGGUAGUAACUCAGAGGACAUGGAAGUUCCCAGUUUGAUGAGUGAUGCUGCUCCAUUGGAGAAAUUGCCGUUACUGCAGGAGACAUUUCCAGAUGAACCUGUUGAGAUUGACCAUGGGAGAUGACUAAUGAUCUCAGACAACUUCGGCACACCAUCCAGAUGCAUAAUCG